rnacentral:rRNA from 1 species
UGCCAGCCGCCGCGGUAAUACGGAGGGUGCAAGCGUUAUCCGGAUUUAUUGGGUUUAAAGGGUGCGUAGGCGGAAUGAUAAGUCAGUGGUGAAAGCCCACAGCUCAACUGUGGAACUGCCAUUGAUACUGUCAUUCUUGAAUCUAGUUGAAGUGGACGGAAUGUAACAUGUAGCGGUGAAAUGCAUAGAUAUGUUACAGAACACCAAUUGCGUAGGCAGUUCACUAAGCUAGUAUUGACGCUAAGGCACGAAAGCGUGGGUAGCGAACAGGAUUAGAUA